UGUUUAUCAACAAGUGUUGAAUAAAUGAUUCAAUAAAUGGCACAUCUGUGCUGAAAAUUAUCAAUUAUAUACAUACCGUUCAAUCCCAAGAAAUUUUUUAAUGCUUGAGACAGAUGUGAGAGAAUCAUGUUGAAACCGAUAUAUUAUCACGGUAUAUUAGCUAAUCAUAGCAAAUAAUGAAAUAGUCCUUUGAUGUAUUAGAAAUUUCCAUAAAGCGUUAAUACCAUCCUGAUAAGAAAAACAAUGUCACUUUGAUAGCAAUAAUUACGUAUCAAAGUUAUCAUAAUUUUAUGAAUGGCUGUUCUAUAAAAUUAUUAAAAAUUCAAAUCAACUGGGAUGUUUUUUUAUGUAAACAAUGACGAUACAUUAGGAUGGCCAUUGAGUUUUCUCCAUAAUUCUUCGUGACUCGUUUUUAAUAAGAGCUAUUUAUCUAUAUUUGGUUGAUGACGAAUACAUCUUCUGUAAAUACGAAAACUGCACUUACCUACGUCAUUCAUUCUUAUGAGCGUUUUUUUUUUUUUUUGUAAAACUUUCAAUACACUACGUGAUGUAAUCAAGCAAUGUGUGAGAUCUUUAUCUGAAAAUAGAUGUACAUAUGAAUAUUAUACCUGUGUACAUGACGGGGAUGUGAUUUAUAAUAACUUACAACAAAAGUAACACAAAAUGAAUGAUAUGCAGAUUAUUACAGUGAUAAAUAAAAAGCAAACUUCUUAUAGCAUGUGAUUAAUUUUCACUUAUUAUAACAAUAAUGAACAUAAUUGCGUCUGGUCAGUGUUUAGGUGGAUCAAAGCCCACCGAUAUUCUGAUUAUGGUAUUUUUAUCGAGCAUACACAUUACUGCUGUUAUUUCUAUGGACUUACAUUUUUUUCAAUUCAUAAGAAAUUUUCCUCAAUCAUAUUAUGAUGGAAUUUGAAAAAAAAAAAAUGCAAUAAUCGAGAAAGUUUAGUG